rnacentral:rRNA from 1 species
CAUAACUCGGGAAACUGGGUAUAAUACCCGAUAGGUCUCGAUUGCUGGAAUGCAUCGAGAUUUAAAGCUCCGGCGCCUAAGGAUGGGUCUGCGGCCUAUCAGGUAGUAAUGGGUGUAGCGUACCUACUAACCUACGACGGGUACGGGUUGUGAGAGCAAGAGCCCGGAGAUGGAUUCUGAGACACGAAUCCAGGCCCUACGGGGUGCAGCAGGCGCGAAAACUUUACAAUGCUGGCAACAGCGAUAAGGGAACCUCGAGUGCCAGGUUACAAAUCUGGCUGUCGAGAUGCCUAAAAAGCAUUUCAUAGCAAGGGCCGGGCAAGACCGGUGCCAGCCGCCGCGGUAACACCGGCGGCUCGAGUGGUAACCGUUAUUAUUGGGUCUAAAGGGUCUGUAGCCGGCCGGAUAAGUCUCUUGAGAAAUCUGGCAGCUUAACUGUCAGGCUUUCAGGAGAUACUGUCUGGCUCGAGGCCGGGAGAGGUGAGAGGUACUUCAGGGGUAGGGGUGAAAUCUUGUAAUCCUUGAAGGACCACCAGUGGCGAAGGCGUCUCACCAGAACGGACCUGACGGCAAGGGACGAAAGCUAGGGGCACGAACCGGAUUAGAUACCCGGAUAGUCCUAGCCGUAAACGAUACUCGCUAGGUGUCGGCCACGGUGCGACCGCUGUCUGUGCCGUACGGAAGCCGUGAAGCGAGCCACCUGGGAAGUACGGCCGCAAGGCUGAAACUUAAAUGAAUUGGCGUGGGGAGCACCACAACGGGUGGAGCGUGCGGUUUAAUUGGAUUCAACGCCGGACAUCUUACCUGGACCGACAGCAAUAUGAACGCCAGGGCUGAGGACUUUGCCUGAUUAGCUGAGAGAUAGUGCAU